UUUUAUAUACUUUUCAAAAUAAAAAUUAGAUUUAAGUGUUAUGUAAUGUCUCAGAUCCAAAAAAACUGAAACCUCUAAAAUAGCUCUAAAACAUUAUUAUUCUCAUUUCUCACUUUAAAAAAGAUAAAACAUAACUUAAAAAAAAAAAUCCCCUUGAAAAGAAAAAAAAAAAAAAACAAAUCCCCAAACUUAUCACUUGAGAGUCGAGACCCUCUUCUUUCUCCACCGUCCGCUGCUAUCUCCAUCCUCCUCUCCCCCAGUCUCUUUCUCUUCCCCAAACCCAUCUCACUCACCCGAAAGAUCUAGGUGUUGGCUUUCUCU
rnacentral:lncRNA from 1 species